GGAGCUUGCUCCGGUGGAUUAGUGGCGAACGAGUGAGUAACACGUGAGUAACCUGCCCUUGACUCUGGGAUAACUGCGGGAAACUGUAGCUAAUACCGGAUACGACCCUCGGAGGCAUCUCCUGAGGGUGGAAAGAAUUUCGGUCAAGGAUGGACUCGCGGCCUAUCAGCUAGUUGGUGAGGUAAAGGCUCACCAAGGCGACGACGGGUAGCCGGCCUGAGAGGGUGACCGGCCACACUGGGACUGAGACACGGCCCAGACUCCUACGGGAGGCAGCAGUGGGGAAUAUUGCAUAAUGGGCGCAAGCCUGAUGCAGCAACGCCGCGUGAGGGACGACGGCCUUCGGGUUGUAAACCUCUUUUAGUAGGGAAGAAGCGAAAGUGACGGUACCUGCAGAAAAAGCACCGGCUAACUACGUG
rnacentral:rRNA from 1 species